ACGUCUUCUAUUGUAUCCCUAUUGGAAACUAUCGUAUUGGCAGGAGUUUUGUAUGCUCUAUCAGCCCAAAAUAAAUGGUUGUCAUAUACAAUAAUAACCGUCUUUGGGAUUUUCCAGAGUGCUUAUUUGCCAGCAGGAGUGGAAUUUGGGAUGGAAAUAACAUAUCCUUCACCUGAGAGUACAGUGUUGGGAAUUCUAUACGCCACAUCGCAGAUUAUAACUGUCGUUCUUACCAUUAUAUUUGGACAAAUUAUAGGAAAAUUUGGAGCAUUUUGGGCUCUUACUGGAAUGAUCAUUACUUUGGCACUGGGUACUACUUUAUCAAUAAUGACGCCGAAUGAACUGAAGAGGCAGAAAUUUUUUGAAAUACAUAAUCGUGUAAAGUUCACGCAGGUUCCUCAGCAUGAUAAUGAUAAUGUGAUAUAAGACUGUAUGGACCAUGUACCAAACAAUCACAAUGGGUGUUAUAUUGAUGGACUCUAUUUCUGUCAUGUUAAUUUCACAAAUAAAAUCGUUGACAAAAAAAUUCGGAAAAAUA